GCCUACGGGGGGCAGCAGUAGGGAAUCUUCCACAAUGGGCGAAAGCCUGAUGGAGCAACGCCGCGUGGGUGAAGAAGGUCUUCGGAUCGUAAAACCCUGUUGUUAGAGAAGAAAGUGCGUGAGAGUAACUGUUCACGUUUCGACGGUAUCUAACCAGAAAGCCACGGCUAACUACGUGCCAGCAGCAGCGGUAAUACGUAGGUGGCAAGCGUUAUCCGGAUUUAUUGGGCGUAAAGGGAACGCAGGCGGUCUUUUAAGUCUGAUGUGAAAGCCUUCGGCUUAACCGGAGUAGUGCAUUGGAAACG
rnacentral:rRNA from 1 species